rnacentral:rRNA from 1 species
UACGUAGGGUGCAAGCGUUAAUCGGAAUUACUGGGCGUAAAGCGUGCGCAGGCGGUUUUGUAAGUCUGAUGUGAAAUCCCCGGGCUCAACCUGGGAAUUGCGAUGGAGACUGCAAGGCUAGAAUCUGGCAGAGGGGGGUAGAAUUCCACGUGUAGCAGUGAAAUGCGUAGAGAUGUGGAGGAACACCGAUGGCGAAGGCAGCCCCCUGGGUCAAGAUUGACGCUCAUGCACGAAAGCGUGGGGAGCGAACAGG